AACGUGGCCUUUAAAUACUCCUGUCGCACAUCGUGAGGUUCUCUUUUCUUCGUCUGCUGACCUGUGGAAGUUUCGGUCCAAGUACGAGCAAUGAGUAAAAGUUUAGCUCUGGACCAUCAUGCCAGUGAACCUCCCAGUCACCUACUGGUCCACAGACUGGGGCAUCUGGUGCUGGGGAUGACCUUUAACCCUUAACCCAUCAACCUCGAAGCUCUUGGAUGUAAUCUAAUGCAUAAGCCAGCCUGGUUCAGCCGUCGGCCAUCUUUCAUGAGGUCACAGGUUUGGCAGAAAUGACUCGGAUGGCGUCAGAAUGCAAGAUGGCGGCGGGAUGAUUUGCUCUUGGAGCUGGGCAUCAUCUGAUGAGAUCCAGCUUUUCUGGUUCAGCUGAAGCAUGGAUGUCGUAAAGUGAAGUUUAAACAGGGAUUGUGUGUCACAGAUGGAAGCAGACGUGGACCACCUGAGGGGAGCUUGCUUUGAUGCAUCAUAUUCUCCAGAUUAAAACUAAAUGAAUAUUUCUUGUUCUAUGUAAACUUUAGUAAUUUGUAAGCAGAUUUUUCUUUUGUACAAAAAUAAAUACAAGAUCAAACAAUC